GCUCAGAGUAUAAGCCAAUGGAGCUUGGAAGGCUUCCGCAGAUGGGGUCCAUCAUACGUGGUGUUCUUAAGACCUUGAGUAAAGCUCGUCAGGCGUAGCAUUGAGUUUGCCAGGUUUAGCUGUCGUGCGGGGGCUUAGCGAGGGGGGACUUUGCUUCGGCUUAGCUAUCUCCCGAGCGGCCCUUUUGAAUGGACGUUCAGAGGCUCUUGGUCUAAUGCGGUUAUGCCCACCACAGCACGUUGUGAGGUCACCCACAGGCUCAAACUGCCGAUCGCGCAUCCAGGACGAUGGCAACGAUGCGUUGUUGAUGAUGGCUCGAAAGAGACUUGACUCAGACGCGUGUCUAGUCCUGGGUCGGGCGGCGACCGAGAUAAACCUGGUAUGAUCCUCUUGCGACGAGCUGCUUUCUGGCCAGACCGACGUCCGGGCGCUUCCACUGUGCCGGAAGUGUCUAUCCCAGGCGGUCUUGACCCAGCUGCAUUAUGCAAGGUCUCUCAGCCGGGCGUUGGUCUGAGUGGUGUUAAGUCCAGCACCAUCGGUCACGUCUCGAAACACGGGCCAAGGAGUAUAGCAUGUGUGCAAGUCUAAGGGUCUCACAAAACCCGAAGGCGAAGUGAAAGCAAGACUGUGGCGGGGGAGCUACGGCAAACCCGCCGGCCUGGUGGCGCGUGCGUCGCCGGCUUAAACAGAGCUGAUCCUGUUUUCUCGGUUAAUUCUUGGUGCAGGCGCAAGCUCCGGGCUCACGUACAACACUGGUCACGCCUCGUG
rnacentral:rRNA from 1 species